rnacentral:rRNA from 1 species
GAUAAACGCUGGCGGCGCACACUAAGGACACUGGCGAAGUCGAACGGACUUAACCGUAAAAGUUUACUUUUUGAGCGGUUAGUGGCGGGACUGGGUGAAGGUAACAUGUAAGCAAUCUGCCUAUCAGAGGGGAAUAACAGUGAGAAAUCAUUGCUAAUACCGCAUAUGCCAUAGUUAUCGCAUGAUAAUAGUGGGAAAGGAGCAAUCCGCUGAUAGAUGAGCUUGCACCUGAUUAGCUAGUUGGUGGGGUAACGGCCUACCAAGGCGACGAUCAGUAGCCGGACUGAGAGGUUGAACGGCCACAUUGGGACUGAGAUACGGCCCAG